CAGGCUGGUCGGGCGAUCGCGGCUCCGCAUGCCGGAGUCGAGGAAAGUCCGCACUCCACAGAGCAGAACGCCGGGUAACUCCCGGGGUGGGGAAACCUGCCGGAUCGGGCCACAGAAACACACCGCGAAAGGCGGCCGGGUAACCGGCUGCCCCGCAAGGGUGAAAAGGUGGUGUAAGAGACCACCGGCGCAUAUAGUAAUAUAUGCGGCCAGGCAACCCCCGUUCGGAGCAAGGCCAAGCAGGGACUGUGCCGGUUUACCGGCCGGUAGUUGCUCGCUUCUUACGUCCCGGGUAGGCUGCUAGAGCUGUACGGAGACGUACAGCCCAGAUAGAUGAUCGCCAAGGACGAUUGUCCUACAGAAUGCGGCUUAUAGACCAGCCUGGGGG
rnacentral:RNase_P_RNA from 1 species